AUUGAACGCUGGCGGCAGGCCUAACACAUGCAAGUCGAGCGGAUGAAGGGAGCUUGCUCCUGGAUUCAGCGGCGGACGGGUGAGUAAUGCCUAGGAAUCUGCCUGGUAGUGGGGGAUAACGUCCGGAAACGGGCGCUAAUACCGCAUACGUCCUGAGGGAGAAAGUGGGGGAUCUUCGGACCUCACGCUAUCAGAUGAGCCUAGGUCGGAUUAGCUAGUUGGUGGGGUAAAGGCCUACCAAGGCGACGAUCCGUAACUGGUCUGAGAGGAUGAUCAGUCACACUGGAACUGAGACACGGUCCAGACUCCUACGGGAGGCAGCAGUGGGGAAUAUUGGACAAUGGGCGAAAGCCUGAUACAGCCAUGCCGCGUGUGUGAAGAAGGUCUUCGGAUUGUAAAGCACUUUAAGUUGGGAGGAAGGGAAGUAAGUUAAUAACUUGCUGUUUUGACGUUACCAACAGAAUAAGCACCGGCUAACUUCGUG
rnacentral:rRNA from 1 species